rnacentral:ncRNA from 2 species
UUAAAUUAGUAGAUAUUGAAAUUUUUUUUUAUAAAAAAAUUUAAUUUUUGUUUUGAAAUUAAUUUUCGAAUGAUCAUAAUAAAUAAUUUUUUAAAUUUAAAUAAAUAGAUUUUUUUAGUAUUAAAAUUUAUAGCAAUUAACGAUAGUUAAACUUAGAUAUUUAUGAUAAUUAAUGGUCAAUUUAGUGCCAGCCACAGCGGUUAAACUAAGAUUAAAAGUUAAUUACUUCAAUAUGUAAUAAAAUAGAAAAUAUUAUAAAAUUUAUUAUAGUAUUAAUUUAGAAUUGUAUGAAAAAAAUAAAUUUUUAACGGUGAAAUGUAAAAAAUUUAAUAAAAUAUAAUUUAUAAAAAUUUAAUUAAAAAAAUUAUUAGAUAAACUAGGAUUAGAUACCCUAUUAUAAUAAUGGAAAAAAAUUAAAUGUUAAAGUAUUAAAUGAUAUAUCAUUAAAUUUAUGAAAUUUGGCGGUAUUUUAUCCAAGUUAGGGGAACCUGUUGAGUAAUUGAUGGUCCACGAUAAGAUCUACUUAAUUUAAUACUCGUGUAUUGCUGUUUUUAGAUAUAUUUUGACUAUAUUAUCAUAAUUUAUAUCAAUAAAAGUAAAAUAAUUCAAGUCAAAAUACGGUUUAGUUAAGAUCAAAUGGGUUACAAUAAUUUAAAAUUAUACGGAUUUUAAAAUUUAAUUUUUAAAUGAAGGCGGACUUAAAAGUAAAAUUAAUAAAUUAAUUAAUUUGAAGUUUGUUUGAAAUAUGUACAAAUUGCCCGUCACUUCCAAUAAAAUGGAACAAGUCGUAACAAAGUUUAGGUAUCGGAAGAUGCUUAUAGAUAAU